rnacentral:piRNA from 2 species
UGUUUCACCGUACUCUUAUCAGGAGACC